rnacentral:rRNA from 1 species
CUACCUUAAAGACUGGGACAACAGUUGGAAACGACUGCUAAUACCGGAUACGCUGCACAUAGGGCAUCCUAGGUGCAGGAAAAGAGGCCUCUUAACAAUGCUCCUGCUUUUAGAUGAGUCUGCGUCUGAUUAGCUAGAUGGUGGGGUAAUGGCUUACCAUGGCGACGAUCAGUAGUCGGCCUGAGAGGAAGGUCCCCCACACUGGUACUGAGACACGGACCAGACUCCUACGGGAGGCAGCAG